UACGGAGGGUGCGAGCGUUGUCCGGAUUUACUGGGCGUAAAGGGCGCGUAGGCGGCGCAACAAGUCACUUGUGAAAUCUCCGGGCUUAACUCGGAGCGGUCAAGUGAUACUGUCGUGCUAGAGUGCAGAAGGGGCAACUGGAAUUCUCGGUGUAGCGGUGAAAUGCGUAGAUAUCGAGAGGAACACCUGCGGCGAAGGCGGGUUGCUGGGCUGACACUGACGCUGAGGCGCGAAAGCUAGGGGAGCGAACGGG
rnacentral:rRNA from 1 species